rnacentral:misc_RNA from 1 species
GCAGUAUUGAUACCAAUUAAGUUUCCUUUUGAAUCAAGUAGAGGACCUCCACUAUUCCCAGGAUUGAUAGCUGCAUCUGUUUGGAUUCCACCCCCGAUGGUGACACCAGUUUGACUAAAAAUGUCGCGAUUUAGUCCACUGAUGACUCCAACUGUGAGAGUAUGAUCAAAACCAAAAGGAUUUCCAAUUGCCAAGCACUGUUGCCCCACUUUAAGAGAAGAUGACUGCCCG